rnacentral:rRNA from 1 species
AGUGAACGCUGGCGGUAGGCCUAACACAUGCAAGUCGAACGGCAGCACAGUAAGAUCUUGCUCUUACGGGUGGCGAGUGGCGGACGGGUGAGGAAUACAUCGGAAUCUACUUUUUCGUGGGGGAUAACGUAGGGAAACUUACGCUAAUACCGCAUACGACCUACGGGUGAAAGCAGUGGAUCUUCGGACCUUGCGCGAUUGAAUGAGCCGAUGUCGGAUUAGCUAGUUGGCGGGGUAAAGGCCCACCAAGGCGACGAUCCGUAGCUGGUCUGAGAGGAUGAUCAGCCACACUGGAACUGAGACACGGUCCAGACUCCUACGGGAGGCAGCAGUGGGGAAUAUUGGGCAAUGGGCGCAAGCCUGAUCCAGCCAUACCGCGUGGGUGAAGAAGGCCUUCGGGUUGUAAAGCCCUUUUGUUGGGAAAGAAAAGCAGCGGGUUAAUACCCCGCCGUUUUGACGGUACCCAAAGAAAAAGCACCGGCUAACUUCGUG